GACGAACGCUGGCGGCGUGCUUAACACAUGCAAGUCGAACGGAAAGGCCCUGCCUUUGUGGGGUGCUCGAGUGGCGAACGGGUGAGUAACCCGUGAGUAACCUGCCCUUGACUUUGGGAUAACUUAAGGUAACUGGGUCUAAUACCGGAUCGGAGCUCCUGAUGCAUGGUGGGGGUUGGAAAGUUUCGGCGGUUGGGGCUGGACUGGCGGCUUAUCAGCUUGUUGGUGGGGUAGUGGCUGACCAAGGCUUUGACGGGUAGUCGGCAUGAGAGGGUGAACAGCCACAAGGGGACUAAGAGACGGCGCAGACGGCUACGGUAGGCAGCAGGGGGAAAUAUGGCACAAUGGGCGGACGUCUGAUGCAGCAACGCCGCGUGUGGGAUGACGGCCUUCGGGUUGUAAACCGCUUUCGCCUGUGACGAAGCGUGAGUGACGGUAAUGGGUAAAUAAGCACCGGCUAACUACGUG
rnacentral:rRNA from 1 species